CCAAUAGCGUAUAUUAAAGUUGUUGCAGUUAAAAAGCUCGUAGUUGAACUUCGGGAUCAAUUGAUAUGGUCAUGCCUUGGUAUGUACUGUUCAUAUUGGUUCUCACCUUCUAAUGAACCAUAAUGUCAUUCAUUUGAUGUUAUGGGGAAUUAGGACUGUUACCUUGAAAAAAUUAGAGUGUUUAAAGCAGGCUCACGCUUGAAUACAUUAGCAUGGAAUAAUGAAAUAGGACAUCGCAUUCUAUUUUGUUGGUUUCUAGGAUCGAUGUAAUGAUUAAUAGGGUUAGUUGGGGGCAUUAGUAUUCAAUUGUCAGAGGUGAAAUUCUUGGAUUUAUUGAAGACUAACUACUGCGAAAGCAUUUGCCAAGGAUGUUUUCAUUAAUCAAGAACGAAAGUUAGGGGAUCGAAGACGAUCAGAUACCGUCGUAGUCUUAACCAUAAACUAUGCCGACUAGGGAUCGGAUGAUGUUGAUUUUUUAAUGACUCAUUCGGCACCUUACG
rnacentral:rRNA from 1 species